rnacentral:tRNA from 1 species
CAUUAAAUGACUGAAAAAGUAUUGAUUUUUUAAAUCAAAUAAUAAUAGUUAUUCGCCCUAUUUUUAAUGA